rnacentral:rRNA from 1 species
GAUGAACGCUGGCGGCGUGCCUAACACAUGCAAGUCGAGCGAUUCUCUUCGGAGAAGAGCGGCGGACGGGUGAGUAACGCGUGGGUAACCUGCCCUGUACACAUGGAUAACAUACCGAAAGGUAUGCUAAUACGAGAUAAUAUACUUUUAUCGCAUGGUAGAAGUAUCAAAGCUCCGGCGGUACAGGAUGGACCCGCGUCUGAUUAGCUAGUUGGUAAGGUAACGGCUUACCAAGGCGACGAUCAGUAGCCGACCUGAGAGGGUGAUCGGCCACAUUGGAACUGAGACACGGUCCAAACUCCUACGGGAGGCAGCAGUGGGGAAUAUUGCACAAUGGGCGAAAGCCUGAUGCAGCAACGCCGCGUGAGCGAUGAAGGCCUUCGGGUCGUAAAGCUCUGGCCUCAAGGAAGAUAAUGACGGUACUUGAUGAGCAAGUCCCGGCUAACUACGUGCCAGCAGCCGCAGUAA